UCUUUUGAAGUAAAACAGUUCAUUUGUCAUUAAAUAUUGAAUGUUAACGGGUGAACUAGCAUUCGGAUAUUUCACAUUUCGGACGCUGCUAUAUAAGUUAGUUGUCGACGCAAUAUCCUGAUAUGCCUUUUGCGCAUAAAGUUUUGAAGUUUUUUUCUAUCUAAUGAAUAAUAAAUAAUGCACUGUAUAAUGUCUGCAAUAUCUGCCCCAACGAUUAUAAGUCAUAAACUUUGCAAUCCCAACAUUUGAAUAUCAAUGCUCUGUCAAUAUUAGAUUUAUGAAUAUUAAAGUAUAGUUUAUUUGCAGAUUCAUUGAGAUUAUGUCAAAAUGGCUUGGGUCAACACACACGACCGUCGACGCCUCUGUCUUUGUCCGUGGUUUGAAGACUUUUCUGGAAGAAAACCACAAGAGACACCUACUGGGGGAGUCCGGCUAUCAACAAUAGGUUCAACAAUGCCCAGUCAAGUGUACUGUGGUUGAUAGGGCUUUUGGACUGCCAAAGAGUAGAUUUAGGUGUCCGCAUAAAACUGGUGGUUGUUUAUUCAUGAGACUCGAUGAGUGCUGUCAAGCAGUGGCUGCAUGAAUGCGCCUGCACAACUUAUGCAUAGAUUAGCAGGUGCCACUGCCUGAACAACUUACUUAGGCACAAGAAGUGGAUGACGUUGUGCACAGUCCACAACAGGACCAAAAUGCAGCUUAUAUGGACAACGCAUCAUUAACUUAUUUAUGUAGUUGCUAUUUUAUGCUCACAU